GUGCUCAAUUUGACAGCAUAUAUGCUAAAAUUGGAACAAUACAGAGAAGAUUAGCAGGGCCCCUGAGCAAGGAUGUCAUGCAAAUUCGUGAAGCAUUUCAUAUUAAA